rnacentral:rRNA from 1 species
GACGAACGCUGGCGGCGUGCUUAACACAUGCAAGUCGUACGGUAAGGCCCUUUCGGGGGUACACGAGUGGCGAACGGGUGAGUAACACGUGAGUAACCUGCCCACAACUUUGGGAUAACGCUAGGAAACUGGUGCUAAUACUGGAUAUGUGCUCCUGCUGCAUGGUGGGGGUUGGAAAGCUCCGGCGGUUGUGGAUGGACUCGCGGCCUAUCAGCUUGUUGGUGGGGUAGUGGCCUACCAAGGCGGCGACGGGUAGCCGGCCUGAGAGGGUGACCGGCCACAUUGGGACUGAGAUACGGCCCAGACUCCUACGGGAGGCAGCAGUGGGGAAUAUUGCACAAUGGGCGCAAGCCUGAUGCAGCAACGACGCGUGCGGGAUGACGGCCUUCGGGUUGGAAACCGCUUUCAGCAGGGACGAAGCUUUUUGUGACGGUACCUGCAGAAGAAGCACCGGCUAACUACGUG